rnacentral:snRNA from 1 species
GGAUGUGAGGGCAAACUGGCUGUGACAUCUGUCACCCCAUUGAUUGCCAGGGUUGAUUCGGCUGAUCUGGCUGACUAGGCGGGUGUCCCCUUCCUCCCUCAAGGCUCCAUGUGCGUCUCUCCAGAAGCUGCGUGCUAAGUCGAAAAAGACAGCCUACCCUGACAGACCGGUCUUCAGUCGAGGGUAUACGAGCAGCUGUGUUCCCCUGCUAGAACCUCCAAACAAGCUCUCAAAAUAAAUACAUACUUAAAUAAUAGUAGUAAUAAGUAGAAAUAUAACAUUGAGGUUGUAGAAUUGAACUAACUAUACUUGACAAUUCUCUAAACUU